UAAAAGGGUACAAAAAGCAAAACAGAACAUUCAAUUGUGGACACUUUUUAAAGGCCAAACAGACUACUGAAUCAUGGACGGAGGGAGUACAAUUUUGAUAUUUCAACCUUGAAGUUUUAAUUGUUAUAUCGCGUCAUUUCGUUGCUUUUAGCAACCCUUACCAUCAAAGCCAUUUUCUAUCAUCCUCAAAAGUCUACUCCUACCCUCUAUGGCCUUUUGAGUAAAACCUUCUCUGCAAAGUCAUAUCCCAUGUUCCACCCAAAUCUUCCCCAUCACUCUCCACAAAUCUUCACAAACUCUUCCUCUCGCAAGCAGCAAAAAUUCAGGAGCAAAACACAAACAAUUUCAUAGCCCUUCUAAUAGCUCCGUUCACUGAGGUUCAUCAGCAGCAAAUCCAGCAGCUGCACCUUCCACAUUUCAGCAACUCAAACCAAAAACUCUUGAAGGUUUCAUCAAACUCCCUUGCUGCUUUAUUUCGCAUUUCAAUAGAGAAACCCAAUUCAUUUACGUAUAAAGACUUUCAGCAUCCAACAAGAAUCACACGUCACAUGUGCAUAUCAUCUGUGUAUAUAUAUAUAUAUAUACAUAUGAAAUCUGUAAAGAAAGGGAAGAAGUAGAAAAGAGACGAUUUUUACAAAAGAUUAAAUCUUGAAACUUUGUCUUUAUUCCUCAUUUUUGAACUUGUUGUGUUGAGCCGGGUCUGGGGUAGUUGAGCGGAGAACGGCGGCGGCCACGGGUUGCUGUCGCCGGGAGGUUUGAGAGAGAGAGCCGAGGGAGAUAGAGGGCGCCGGUGGCAGCCUGCUUCAUCUGCUGCUGCUGUCGGCUGGUUUGAGUGAAGGGGAGGGAGUUCAGGCGGCGGUGGCUGGUUUUCGGCUGCUGUCGCCGGGAAUUUUAGAGAGAGAGGCCGAGGGAGGCGGCGGCGCCUCGCCGUCGCCAAGGAGAAAGACAGAGGAGAGGGCUGUCGGGUUGUUUCAGCGCGAGGGAAGAGAGAUCGAGAGAUGGAGGCGAGAGAAGGGAGAACCGAGGGGUGGCAGUGGCUGUCGCCGCUUGCUCCGGCGAGCUCCGGCGGCGGCGGAUUCUGCAGGAGCUGAGAGAGAGGGUGAGCGGAAAUUGUGAAAUGAGAGAGGGAGAGAUGAGCGGAUUUUUUUUGGAGAGAGAGAUAUAUCCGAUCUGUUGAAAAAAAAGAAGGGGAGAGGGUUUGGGUUUUAAUUUUCGAGUGUUUGGGCCUUUGUUUUUAAUUUUCAGUGGACCGAUCUUUUUUCUAUUUUAAUGCAGCUGGGCCCGUUUGUUUUUGAAACAGAAGGGUGAUUCUAUUCCUAGCCACCAUUUUACUCAGUAUAGCCCUUAUAUAAAAUAAUAAUAAAAAAUAUUUAUAAAUUUACAAAUUUACCCUAUAAUUCAUAUAACCUUAAAUUAAUAUUAUAAUUAAAUUUAAAUCUAUUGUAUAGCCUCCUUUAAUGAUUCACAUGGUUAGUUCUGCUUGCAUUUUUCCCCUUUCCCUUUUCUCGUCUUUUAAAUUACAAAUUUUCCUUGAACAUACUUAGCAACUGGUUUAGAUUUGGAGAUAAAUUCAAAUGGAUCCUCCUCCUUCCACAUACUUUCUUUUGAGAUGGGAGAGCACAAGAGAUCAAUGGUAGUUUGCUUCUCCAAUAGAUUGGGCUGCUAUCAAUGGCUACUACGAUUUAGUGAGGGAGCUUCUUUACAUGACACCAAUCUUCUCAUCAAAUUAACCUCUCUCCCAAGAAUCCGCCAGCCUCGAGAUCGUCAGGGACGACGACGUUGUUGUUUGGAUCGUGAGAGAAUGAAGGCAGUGGCCUUCGUCGAAAUCGAAGACGAAGGUGGUCGCCGGAAAUCGAGGGAGGAGGCAGUGAUAGAUUUGGGUAUAUGAGGUUUCAAAGAAAGAUGAGGUCACCGGAAUAGAAGGAGGCACAACAAGUAGAUUUAGGAAGAAGAAGAUGGGGGCUUUAUUUAUUAUUAUUUUUUUAGAGCUCCAUGCCACAAAAAAAUUUCAUUAAAACCUCAAAAGUUUACA